GUUUAAUUUUCUAUGUUCUUAUUUCAGUUAUUGUUGCUUUACAUUCCAGCAGAAUCCAUCAUAGACCAUUAGAACAUGGACUAUCAAUACCUAGAAACUCGACUAAGUCAGGUCAGCCCAGAUCCUUUAUCCUUUAACCAUUAGGUUGGAGGCAGGAUAAGGAUUUUCAAAUGUAAUAUUACUUUAAUACCCGUUGCUUAAUGUGUAAUGCAAGAGACAAACAAAAUCUUUUUGAUAAAAAAGAUGAAUUAUAAAUCAUAACUUUCGUAGGUCCUUGCUCGACACCACAUUAGACAGGACAUCGAUGUGACUGUUUACUCGUGACAUAAUAUACUAUGUCUCUGUACUGGAAUGUUACCUCUGGAUAUCUG